GCAGCUCAGUGGCAGAGCAUCUGCUUGGCAUGCAGAAGGUUCCAGGUUCAUCCUCUGGCAUCUCCA